CGAGGGAGAGAGAGAAUCCCAAGUCGGCUCCACACCGUCCGCACAGAGCCCGAUGUGGGGCUCAAACUCACGAACCGUGAGAUCAUGACCUGAGCCAAGGUCGGGUGUUUAACCAACUGAGCCACCCAGGUGCCCCUGGGAUAGAAUGUUAGAGGUGAGAUAGCUGGGUCAAAGGGUCAGUGCAUACGUAAUCUUGUGAGAUACUUCCAAGUUGUCUUCCACAGGGGUAGCUGCUUGGGACUUUCAAUACCGGCCUCCUCUCCUCCCACUGCCUGGAAGUGUGGCCCAAAGGCUCGCCCCGGAAUUGCCGGUAUGUAGGGACAAGUUGAAGAAAAGGGAGCAUCACAGGGUCACAUGAUGGCAGGACAGGAAGGGCCCUGGGUACAUCUAGAAUGCAGGAGCACUUAUGAACCAACCCCCCACCCCCACCCCCAGCCAAGGCUGCCUGGAGCCGGUAGGACUUCAUGAUCUAUCUCUGAGUUGGGAGCUGUUUCAAAACGAUAUUAGUACUUUGAACAAGUGUGGCCAACGAGAAUGGGUAAGGCUGGUGGCUGUUACCAGAUGUGCCUCUGCACGACCGAGGGGCGAGGGGAAAGGCCUUCAGCCUUUCUCUUCAGGGAGACCCUGCCAUUCCUCUGAGCCAAUGUGUCACACUCACAAAGCCAGUAAAUUGGACAGCGGCUACUCACGACAGCUUAUUUAUAGCGCCAACUACUCUAUCCCCUGUGAAAAUUGAGCGAAGAGAACAGCCCAGCGGGAUGGAACGUGUGGCCAUCUGUGACUCUGUUUCCACAACAAAUGCCUCCCAGCUGCGUGUUCCCAUCAGCACCGCGCGGGCACUUGAGCCGAUGGCAGGCAGGGUGCAGCUGGGGCAGGGCCCUUGGAAUCCCAACCCUCUGUGACCUCAUCCCUUCCAGGAAAAGCCUGAUGCCAGGACAGGCCCUGGAGGUCACCCUACGUGUUCCCGAGAGAAUAGAGAACAGUUCCGGUUCCAGAGUCCGCAGUGUUUCGGGGUGCAGAUGGCCUUGGGGCCCGCCCAGCAGGUACCCCUGACCCUGCCAGAGUCUAACAAGGCAAGGCUCCCUUGAAGGCCUGCAGAGCACAGGGGUUCAGCCGGGAACAGCAAACUCUCCCUCUGGCACAGAAGCAGAUAGGUGAGCUCCGACCGGAACAGAGUAAGUUCAAUUCAAAAUCUGCCUCCCGUGCGAAAAACUCAGAAGACCAAUUUGAUGCCCAUGUUGUGUCACUGUUCUACUAUUUCCAGGCCAGUGCUAUCGUUUUUAAAUCGUUAGGGUCAUGCUCCAUUGUAAAAAGACGAACUGUUCUGAGCAGUCAGGCCCCGUGCUCUGAUGCGCCCAUCUGAACAGGCAGCCAGCGGCCUCUCCUUCCACCCAGGCACUUGCCAUCAGUCUGGGAGCUGUGAAGAAAGGGGAGUCAACGGACCCCACCUUCCAGCAGGUUCUAUUCUUCCUGCUGACUCCGGCCCCUCACAAGGUUGCUUGGGGUGCUCUGCUCAUCACCCAAGAGGAACCAACUCGGCAGGGAGGCUUUCGGCAGGUCCCUGACCAGAGAGGGUCUGAAGACACCGUCCCCGCACCCGGAGCGUGGCCGACAAUCGUCGCUCCUCUGCCAAAUGUGAUCGCGGCUACAGCACAGGGAGGGAGGGGGGCAUCUAAAACCCCUAUUCCUUCAGGCGCAGGAGACUUUGGAGAAACAGACCUGCUUGAGGAUUCGAAUAGCUACGGUUGGGCUCAAAAGCCCAGCGGGCCACCUCUCUUCCUCUCAGGCCAGGCCACACGAACGGAGGAACGCAGCAGGACAGCAGAGUGGCUGAGCCCAGGAGACCGCCGGCCUGAGGCUCUUGGCCAGAGCUCCGCUGACCCGUCCGUGAGCCACACUGUCCUCCCUUGACGAGCAAACCCUCUCCUGACACCCAGCCCACUUGGCGUUUGCCCUCAUCUCUAGUUCUCAAAUUCCUGAUUUUGUACCCAGGAUCUUUAUCUGCUUCUGGCUCCCGUGAUUUGGCAAAUUGCCAAAGCCCAGCCGGCUGGUCUUCUUAAGGGAUGUCAGCUCAGCUGACAGAGUCCCCGCUCCAGCCCCUAGCAGUCAAGGACAGCAUCGCCACCCCUACAGCUCAGCUCCCUCUGAUGCCCGUUUCAAAAAGUCAGCAGUCAGCUUUCGGGUCCGUUGCCGAAGGGACCUGUGUACCGAGAUGUUGGAACCCUGGGUCCCCACCCCACACGCAGAGGGUGAGCACUGGACCCUGUGGAGGCCACGUCUGGAGAGAUGGGCCUCCCAACGCAGCCUCCAGCCGUCCUGGACCUUCAGAUCCCAAGAGACUCUAAGAUCAGGGCUAAUCUGGAUGCCGAGUUCCACAGCGGAAAACUCAUGACCCCUCUGUGCUGCUUCCUACCUCUGUGCGCCUCACACCUUCCUUCCAGGCCCCCCCCUCAGGGAGAAGCCACCCUCCAGCUCCGCCUGUGUCUCCCCCCAUUCCUCAGUGGUUGUAUUUCGGGGACUCAGAAACAUCGAGGGCCAACUGGACCCAGGGAACCCGACCGGUUAGCCUCUGAGCGACUGGCCUGGCCCAGCUUCCGCUGGCUGUCCACAAGAGUAAAUAAACUUCAGCCAGCUCUCUAUUGUUACUGAAGAUCAGUUACUCCCCUCAAGAUCCAACCUGGCAUCUUGGUCCCUAAUUAAGCCUGUAGCGGCUGUCUGCUUGAAGAAAGGGCAGAAAGUAACGCAGAGAUGCUAAGACGGUCUAGAAGAGAGACGUCUUGUCAGGAGCCGUAAUCAAAUUAUGGAGGACACCAAGGUAGCAGCGACUCAGAUCCAGGCCUUGAACAAGUCCAGGCUCCGAACAAGACCUACAAAUAAGUGGGGCAUCAUCAAAAUAGAAGGGGAGCAUCAGAACAGCUUCCACUGGAGGCUGAGAUGGAACCUGCUGGGCAGCGAACGCCCUUGGCAUUGGAGAGCAAAGUCAUCACUGAAAACAAAGACAACCAGUGAGCUAUUUUGUGCACAAACGGUCCCUUUGCCGUUCUCAUCAAGCCAGAAACAAAUAUCCUGGAAUCGUUGGCUAGCGGCCAAGAAGAAGACCUGGGGUCCAAACUUGCUUAACCCCAAAUGCUGUGCUCUUUUCACUGUAUCGUCCUAUCUGCCUCGCUGGAUCCCGGGAAGGCUUGACUGGUAAGACCAGAAGACACAAGGAUGGGCUGGAAGGCGGCCAUGCUGGAAAAAGAGAUCUUUUGGAGAGCACGCUUAGAAUGUAACUCUGGAUCGGGUAGACAAAGAAGAACCUUCUUCCCAUGCCCCUCACAACACGUGAAUUUAUCCGGCAACUUUUUUCCAGCCCCUCUGCAGAGCCAUUUACAAAUUCCCGCUUGCAAGGCUGCUGAAGGAUGAAAUGUACCAAUACGGUCUCUGCGACAGACUGCUGUGUGCUUUCAAAACACAGACACAACACCAGGACUUCUCGACUCUGCGUUUCUGCGGGGCCUAGUGCCAGCUCUGACACAGGAUGGGGACGUAAUCAGUGUCGUUCACUUGACUCGUCCCAUUUGACGGAAGAUCUUUGUAAAUGAUUCCACGUCACAACAUAACGGACACAGACAAGGUCAUCUGAUGCAUUCGAAACUUAACACGAAUGGGCAUACGACCCAGGCAGACGCUGUGGAUGCGUGGACCUCCUCCAAGAAACUAGUGACCUGUUUAGAAAUUAUACUUUUUACCAUUCUUCGUGAGCGCAGAUGAUCGCCGAAUGGAAGAUGUGGGAUUUCAGCCGUCUUCCCAGGAGAGGGGAUGGGCCUCCUGCUAAAUCAUCCCUCCUUUCUUUAACAUUUGUGGGUGACGACGGUGUACCUACCGACCACUCAAGGAGCACAGACCCAGGAGGACCCUACAUGGAGGGCUCCCGGUCUGAUGCGGUGAGAUCACAUUCACAAAGAACUCAUUACCCGGGGGUCGGCGCUGCUGUAGAAGGAUGGUCUAAGUGCCCUGGGAGUGUUAAAUCCCUCCCUGGGUCAGGAUGGGAGGACGAAGGUAGGAAAGGCCAUUUGAGGGAUGGACAGAUCCAGAUGGACAGUAGAGUAUCCUAGGCCAGAGGAUAUUAACAAAGGCAUUGGAAUUCAGCAGUACGCUGGGAAUGUAACUACCAUGUCAGGCCAUUCACUUCUAAUAAACUCAGCUGGUUUCAA